rnacentral:rRNA from 1 species
UACGUAGGGUGCGAGCGUUAAUCGGAAUUACUGGGCGUAAAGCGUGCGCAGGCGGCUUUGCAAGACAGAUGUGAGAUCCCCGGGCUCAACCUGGGAACUGCAUUUGUGACUGCAAGGCUAGAGUACGGCAGAGGGGGAUGGAAUUCCACGUGUAGCAGUGAAAUGCGUAGAGAUGUGGAGGAACACCGAUGGCGAAGGCAGCCCCCUGGGUCAACACUGACGCUCAUGCACGAAAGCGUGGGUAGCAAACAGGAUUAGAUACCCCAGUAGU